rnacentral:rRNA from 1 species
AGUUCGAUCAUGGCUCAGAUUGAACGCUGGCGGGAUGCUUGUGCAAGUCGAACGGCAGCACGGACUUCGGUCUGGUGGCGAGUGGCGAACGGGUGAGUAAUGUAUCGGAACGUGCCUAGUAGCGGGGGAUAACUACGCGAAAGCGUAGCUAAUACCGCAUACGCCCUUCGGGGGAAAGCGGGGGACGCUUCGGGCCUCGCACUAUUAAACAGCCGAUAUCGGAUUAGCUGGUUAGUGGGGGCCAACGGCUCACCAGGCGACGAUCCAUGUAGCUGGUUUUGAGAGGACGACCAGCCACACUGGGACUGAGACACGGCCCAGACUCCUACGGGAGGCAGCAGUGGGGAAUUUUGGACAAUGGGGAAACCUGAUCCAGCCAUCCCGCGUGCGAUAUGAAGGCCUUCUGGUUGUAAAAGCACUUUUGGCAGGAAAGAAACGGCACAGGAUAAUACCCCGUGCAACUGACGGUACCUGCAGAAUAAGCACCGGCCCCAACUACGUGCCAGCAGCCGCGGUAAUACGUAAAGUGCAAGCGUUAAUCGGAAUUACUGGGCGUAAAGCGUGCGCAGGCGGUUCGGAAGAAAGAUGUGAAAUCCCAGGCUUAACUUUGGAACUGCAUUUUUUAACUACCGAGCUAGAGUGUGUCAGAGGGAGUGGAAUUCCGCGUGUAGCAGUGAAAUGCGUAGAUAUGCGGAGGAACACCGAUGCUUGAAGGCAGCCUCCUGGGAUGUACUGACGCUCAUGCACGAAAGCGUGCCGGGGAGCAAACGGGAUUAGAUGCCCUGGUAGUCCACGCCCUAAACGAUGUCAAUAGCUGUUGGGGCCUUCGGGCCUUGAAGCGCAACUAACGCGUGAAGUUGACCGCCUGGAAGUACGGUCGCAAGAUUAAAACUCCAAAGGAAUUGACGGGGACCCACACAAGCGGUGGAUGAUGUGGAUUAAUUCGAUGCAACGCGAAAAACCUUACCUACCCUUGACAUGUCUGGAAUCCCGAAGAGAUUUGAAGGUGCUCGCAAGAGAACCGGAACACAGGUGCUGCAUGGCUGUCGUCAGCUCGUGUCGUGAGAUGUUGGGUUAAGUCCCGCAACAGGCGCAACCCUUGUCAUUAGUUGCUACGAAAAGGGCACUCUAAUGAGACUGCCGGUGACAAACCGGAGGAAGGUGGGGAUGACGUCAAGUCCUCAUGGCCCUUAUGGGCAGGGCUUCACACGUCAUACAAUGGUCGGGACAGAGGGUCGCCAACCCGCGAGGGGGAGCCAAUCCCAGAAACCCGAUCGUAGUCGGAUCGCAGUCUGCAACUCGACUGCGUGAAGUCGGAAUCGCUAGUAAUGCGCGGAUCAGCAUGUCAUGAUGCGAAUACGUUCCCGGGUCUUGUACACACCGCCCGUCGCACCAUGGGAGUGGGUUUUACCAGAAGUAGUUAGCCUAACCGUAAGGAGGGCGAUUACCACGGUAGGAUUCAUGACUGGGGUGAAGUCAUCUUCAAGGUAA